rnacentral:rRNA from 1 species
ACUACGGGUGGCUGCAGUGAGGAAUAUUGGUCAAUGGGCGCAAGUCUGAACCAGCCAAGUAGCGUGAAGGAUGACUGCCCUCCGGGUUGUAAACUUCUUUUAUAAAGGAAUAAAGUGAGGCACGUGUGCCUUUUUGUAUGUACUUUAUGAAUAAGAGUAGGCUAACUCCGUGCCAGCAGCCGCGGUAAUACGGAGGAUCCGAGCGUUAUCCGGAUUUAUUGGGUUUAAAGGGAGCGUAGGGGGGUUGUUAAGUCAGUUGUGAAAGUUUGCGGCUCAACCGUAAAAUUGCAGUUGAUAAUGGCAGCCUUGAGUACAGUUGAGGUAGCAGGAAUUCGUGGUGUAGCGGUGAAAUGCUUAGAUAUCACGAAGAACUCCGAGUGCGAAGGCAGCUUACU